UGCCCUGGCAGUCAGAGGCGAUGAAGGACGUGCUAAUCUGCGAAAAGCGUCGGUAAGGUGAUAUGAACCGUUAUAACCGGCGAUGUCCGAAUGGGGAAACCCAGUGCAAUUCGUUGCACUAUCGUUAACUGAAUACAUAGGUUAACGAGGCGAACCGGGGGAACUGAAACAUCUAAGUACCCCGAGGAAAAGAAAUCAACCGAGAUUCCCCCAGUAGCGGCGAGCGAACGGGGAGCAGCCCAGAGUCUGAAUCAGCUUGUGUGUUAGUGGAACGGUCUGGAAAGUCCGACGGUACAGGGUGAUAGUCCCGUACACCAAAAUGCACAGGCUGUGAACUCGAAGAGUAGGGCGGGACACGUGGUAUCCUGUCUGAAUAUGGGGGGACCAUCCUCCAAGGCUAAAUACUCCUGACUGACCGAUAGUGAACCAGUACCGUGAGGGAAAGGCGAAAAGAACCCCGGCGAGGGGAGUGAAAAAGAACCUGAAACCGUGUACGUACAAGCAGUGGGAGCACCUUCGGGUGUGACUGCGUACCUUUUGUAUAAUGGGUCAGCGACUUAUAUUCUGUAGCAAGGUUAACCGUAUAGGGGAGCCGCAGGGAAACCGAGUCUUAACUGGGCGUUAAGUUGCAGGGUAUAGACCCGAAACCCGGUGAUCUAGCCAUGGGCAGGUUGAAGGUUGGGUAACACUAACUGGAGGACCGAACCGACUAAUGUUGAAAAAUUAGCGGAUGACUUGUGGCUGGGGGUGAAAGGCCAAUCAAACCGGGAGAUAGCUGGUUCUCCCCGAAAGCUAUUUAGGUAGCGCCUCGUGAACUCAUCUUCGGGGGUAGAGCACUGUUUCGGCUAGGGGGUCAUCCCGACUUACCAACCCGAUGCAAACUACGAAUACCGAAGAAUGUUAUCACGGGAGACACACGGCGGGUGCUAACGUCCGUCGUGAAGAGGGAAACAACCCAGACCGCCAGCUAAGGUCCCAAAGUCAUGGUUAAGUGGGAAACGAUGUGGGAAGGCACAGACAGCCAGGAUGUUGGCUUAGAAGCAGCCAUCAUUUAAAGAAAGCGUAAUAGCUCACUGGUCGAGUCGGCCUGCGCGGAAGAUGUAACGGGGCUAAACCAUGCACCGAAGCUGCGGCAGCGACACUAUGUGUUGUUGGGUAGGGGAGCGUUCUGUAAGCCUGCGAAGGUGACCUGUGAGGG
rnacentral:rRNA from 1 species